CCGAAGAGGCAACAUGUAAGCUGUCACACUGAAAAAGUAACUGAAACAGGAUAAGACUGACAUCUCUGCCUUCAUUGUGUGUCUGUAUUUGGCCUGAAGUCACAGAGCUCAAUUCAGGGAAACCAAUCUCUAAGUAGUUGAUUGGCUCCUGUUGGCCUCUUCCUAGUCAUGUCCAGCCUCCCAUAUAAGAAAGAUUCUGUUCUGGGCCAGUAAUAUGGUUCGGUGACCACUUGCCACACAAGCCUGACAAUGUGAAUUUGAACCCUGGGACCCACAUAAACGUCAAAGGAGAGAAGAUAGUCCACGGAGCUGUCCUCUCACGUCUUCUUGUGAGUUGUAGCAAGUAUGCUUUCCCCAUCUUGCAAAAGCCACAGAUUGACAACAAAACAUUACAAAUAUAAGAGAGAUCCCUUUCCCCACGGCCCGUUUGUUAUG